ncrna:unclassified sequences skipping-rope RNA
UGCAUCAGAAGUAGAAAUUGUGCCGCUACGCGCCUCCUUGGAGGUUACAAAAUGAAGUGCGGGACGCUGGCACACCCGCCUGAUGAA